UGAAAAUGAAACCUUUUGUUUUCUUAAUUUUCCAAUGGUUAACAGAUUCAUUAGCCAUCAAUAUUGCAUCGGUUAUCUGCCUUCCUUUGACAAAAGCAUGUUGAUUAGAGGCAAUAGUUUAAGCUGAUUGGUCUAUAGUCCAUAGGGGUGUUGCAUUCUGUUUUUUUUGCAAUCAAUGCUAUGAAAGUGUUAUUCAUAUUCCUGUUGACUUUUUGGCUUUUAUGGAAGUCUUUGAACACUUCCAUCACGUCUUGUUUGAGGAUUGACCAGAAUCUUUUGUAGAAAUCCAUUGUAUAGGCAUCCAGACUAGGAGCCUUGUCAUUACUGAAAGAGAAGAUUGCGUUUUUGACCUCUUGUUCUGAAAAAUUGUUUACAGGUUCUCAUGGUGGUUCUUCUUCUGGGCUAUGUAUUGUAUUAUUUUGUUCCCUUCCCAAUUUUUGAUAGUGGUGGAUAGUCUCUUGAGCCUUUCUAUGAAAGUAAAGCCUGGGUAGCCAUCCAUUUUUGUGUCUACCCACCAACAAGGUAUGUUUCUUUUGAAAUCUUUUUCUCUGAUGAGCUGGUUGCUUAUUUUGAAAGGAGAAGGGCCCCAUGUAAACUCCGAGCAAUCUAAAACAAUUGGAAAAUGGUUUGAAGUAAUUCAUGGAAGGGUUCCGGAGUGCGGCUUAAACGUGGUUUCUCAUUCCAUGUUAUGUAGGAAUCUAUCCAGGCCAGGCGAGACAAAACUGGGGCGCUUCUCAUGUUUGAGCAGGUGAAUCUAUUAUUUGUGAGCGGCGGAUCAAGAAGCUUGCAUCCAUGUAUGAAUCUGUUGGAGGAGUUUAAAAUGUUAAAAAUCAAAAUUCCUCCUCCCGUUCAUUUUGGCACAUUUUCAUUUUACUUCCCCUCCACAAAUUAUUAAUAGCUGUCCCAACACCAAAACCAUAACUUUUCAAUGGGUUCAAAAUGGUUUAGAUUC